rnacentral:misc_RNA from 1 species
UCUACUGCAACAGAUCUGUCCGGUCUACGUAUAAUUAAGUUGAUGCUACUUUAGAGCAAUCAAGGAAGCAGGGAAUUUUAAUUUCAAAAAAUUUAGGGGACAUAAAUGUAAUUUCACCCCUACUAUCAAGGGAUACUCAAGUCUCACCAGAAAAUUGUAAAUGUCAAAUUACAUAGAUUAUUCUACCAGCAUAUAAUUGACAACCACAUAGUGAACAUUUAGCUACCUCUAGGCUUAAGGUUUUCAUGUUCUCGUAUGUUUGCAGACAUGCGUAUAAAUUUGUGCA